rnacentral:rRNA from 1 species
ACUCCUACGGGAGGCAGCAGUGGGGAAUAUUGGACAAUGGGCGCAAGCCUGAUCCAGCCAUGCCGCGUGUGUGAAGAAGGCCCUAGGGUUGUAAGCUCUUUCAGCGAGGAGGAUAAUGACGUUACUCGCAGAAGAAGCCCGGCUAACUUCGUGCCAGCAGCCGCGGUAAUACGAAGGGGGCUAGCGUUGUUUCGGAAUCACUGGGCGUAAAGCGCACGUAGCGGACUUUUAAGUCAGGGUGAAAUCCCGGGCUCAACCCGGAACUGCCUUUGAUACUGGAAGUCUUGAGUCCGAGAGAGGUGAGUGGAACUCCGAGUGUAGAGGUGAAAUUCGUAGAUAUUCGGAAGAACACCAGUGGCGAAGGCGGCUCACUGGCUCGGUACUGACGCUGAGGUGCGAAAAGCGUGGGGAGCAAACAGGAUUAGAUACCCUGGUAGGACAGUG